GACGAACGCUGGCGGCGUGCCUAAUACAUGCAAGUAGAACGCUGAAGAGAGGAGCUUGCUCUUCUUGGAUGAGUUGCGAACGGGUGAGUAACGCGUAGGUAACCUGCCUGGUAGCGGGGGAUAACUAUUGGAAACGAUAGCUAAUACCGCAUGAUAUUAAUUGUCGCAUGAUAAUUAAUUGAAAGAUGCAAUUGCAUCACUACCAGAUGGACCUGCGUUGUAUUAGCUAGUUGGUGAGGUAACGGCUCACCAAGGCGACGAUACAUAGCCGACCUGAGAGGGUGAUCGGCCACACUGGGACUGAGACACGGCCCAGACUCCUACGGGAGGCAGCAGUAGGGAAUCUUCGGCAAUGGGGGGAACCCUGACCGAGCAACGCCGCGUGAGUGAAGAAGGUUUUCGGAUCGUAAAGCUCUGUUGUAAGAGAAGAACGGGUGUGAGAGUGGAAAGUUCACACUGGACGGUAUCUACCA
rnacentral:rRNA from 1 species